UUCCCCAGCUUCACAAUUCCGGCCACAGGGGGAGCUGUUGCUUCACUGUCCACUAGUGGCUGUACUUCCUCAUUCCUUUCCUCGUGUUUUGCUGUUCAAAGGACUUGAGACCUGCUUCUUUUCCCAACUUGAUCAUGUCCAUCAAGAUAGCUUUUUUCACUGCUGCAUUUUUACAGAGUUCUUCAUAUGAACCAUUUAUUCCAAGUUUCCUUGCAAACUCUGGAAGUGUCUCCGGAUCAGGAACAACCACACCGACCAGGAAAGACUGUAGGCUCUCUCCAUGUACAAAGACCUGUGCCACAGGACUACUUCUGAUGUAGAUGUUUUCAAUCUUUUCAGGUGC
rnacentral:lncRNA from 11 species